GACGAACGCUGGCGGCGUGCUUAACACAUGCAAGUCGAACGCUGAAGGCCUGGCUUUUGUUGGGUUGGAUGAGUGGCGAACGGGUGAGUAACACGUGAGUAACCUGCCCUCUUCUCUGGGAUAACGCCCGGAAACGGGUGCUAAUACUGGAUAUUCACUGAUCUUCGCAUGGGGGUUGGUGGAAAGGUUUGUUCUGGUGGGGGAUGGGCUCGCGGCCUAUCAGCUUGUUGGUGGGGUGAUGGCCUACCAAGGCUUUGACGGGUAGCCGGCCUGAGAGGGUGACCGGUGACAUUGGGACUGAGAUACGGCCCAGACUCCUACGGGAGGCAGCAGUGGGGAAUAUUGCACAAUGGGCGAAAGCCUGAUGCAGCGACGCCGCGUGAGGGAUGGAGGCCUUCGGGUUGUAAACCUCUUUCGCUCAUGGUCAAGCCGCAACUGUGGGUUGUGGUGAGGGUAGUGGGUAAAGAAGCGCCGGCUAACUACGUG
rnacentral:rRNA from 1 species